rnacentral:lncRNA from 12 species
CGGGGGUUGGUGGUGAGGGGGGGUUUGUGGGUGGCUCUGUGUGGGGGUGGCGGCUGUGCUGUGGCCAGAUUUGUCCUUGGUGUCCAUUCUGGUGUCCAUCCUCAUCCUCGUCCUUAAAUUUGUCCCCAAACUUGUCCCCAGACUUGUCCCCAGACUUGUCCCCAAGUCCAUCCUGGUGUCCAUCCUCGUCCUUGUCCUCAAACUUAUCCCCAGGUCCGUCCUGGUGUCCACUCUCAUCCCUGUCCCCAGAUUUGUCCUUGGGUCCAUCAUGGUGUCCAUCCCCAUCCCUGUCCUCAUCCCUGUCCUCAGACUUGUCCCCAAACUUGUCCUCGGGUCCAUCCUGAUGUCCAUCUUCAUCCUGGUCCCCAAACUUGUCCCCAGAAUUGUCCCCAGGUCCAUCCUCAUGUCCAUCCUCAUCCCUGUCCCCGCAUUUGUCCUUGAGUCCAUCCUGGUGUCCAUCCUCAUCCCCGUCCCUAAAUUUGUCCCCAAACUUGUCCCCAGGUCCAUCCUGUUGUCCAUCCUGUUGUCCAUCCUCAUCCCUGUUCCCAUUCCUGUCUCCAAAUUUGUCCUUGGUGUCCAUCUUGAUGUCCAUCCUCAUCCGUGUCCCCAUCCCUGUCCCCAGUCUUGUCCCCAGGCCCAUCCCCAUCUCUGUCCCCAAUGCCACCCUCAUGUCCAGGUUUCUCCUGUCCCCAGUGCCACCCCGGUGCCACCCCGGUGUCCCCUGAGCUGUCCCUCACUCGGAGCCGUCGGUGAUGCGCCGCAGCGUCUCCUCGCACACCUGGCGCAGGUGCUGCCGGUGCUCGGGCAGCUCCAGGUCCGAACAGCGGCUGGGAUCCACCUCGGAGCUCUGCUCGGAGCUGCAGAGCUGGGCCACCACCUCCCCUGGGGACAGGGACAGGGGACAGGGGACAGAGGGGUCACCACCACCUCCCCUGGGGACAGGGGACAGAGGGGUCACCACCACCUCCCCUGGGGACAGGGGACAGGGAGGUCAUCACCACCUCCCCUGGGGACAAGGGACAGAGAGGUCGCCAGGACAGGGAUGGACAGGAGGAACCCAAACCACCCCCCGUGGAUGGUCAGCCCAUGAGCGGUCUGAGUGGUCACCACCAUGGACACAUGGAUGGUCAAGGGGUCACCACCACGUCCCCAUGGGUGGUCGGGGUGUCCCACAGCUCCUGACUGGUCACCAGGACAGGGAUGGACAGGAGGAACCCAAACCACGCCCCCAUGGGUGGUCAGAGAUGUCCCACAACACAUGAGGUGACCAAGUGGUCACCAGGACAGGGAUGGACAGGAGGAACCCACACCACGUCCCUAUGGAUGGUCAGGGGUGUCCCACAACCCAUGAGGGGACUGAGUGGUCACCGUAAUGUCCCCAUUGGUCACCAGGACAGGAAUGACCAGGACCAGCCCACACCACGUCCCCAUGGAUGGUCAGCCCAUGAGGGGACUGAGUGGUCACCACCACGUCCCCAUGGAUGGUCAGGGGUGUCCACCCCGGUCUCACCCCGGUCACCACCCCCUGCCAACCCCCGGGAUGUCCCCAAUGUCCCCUCCCCGUACCCAGCGUGUCCUGCAGGUACUUGGCCCCCACCAGCUUCAUGUACUCGUCGAUGGCCUUGGUGGCCAAGGUGUUCUCGCGGAAGAUCAGCGCCUCGUGGUCGUCGAAGCGGUCGAGCUCGGCCACGCCCAGGUCGAUCAGGAACGACUGCGGGGACGCGGGGAGGCCCCCCCCCCCCCCCCCCCCCCCCCCCCCCCCCCCCCCCCCCCCCCCCCCC